ACUGAUGAAUGAGCAGGAUGUUCCCGCAGCCCCGUAGUUAGCAACAGUAUAGUGGGUGUUUAAAUAAUUUGUUUUACCAUUCAAGAAUUUAAAGUUGCCACAUUGACUGACAGAGAAAACACGUGGAAUCGAAUAGAGAGCUGGGCUUGCUACAGCUGGACUCUCAUCCCUGUAGAAACUGUCAGGAAGAGGCUGUGUAUGCGAGGCAGGAAGGGCCUAAUAUACGUACUGAGGGUUGAGGACAGUGUCAACGCCAACAGCAACAACACAGAUGCCCUCUGCUCUGGGCCAGCGCGCAGGCACAGAGGAGUCCUCUCUCUCCCCACGCUGUUCUCCAGUCUGCAUUAGUUAGCUGCUCUGAAGGUCAAUCAAGACGCCUCAAGUGUUUUCUGCCUUCGGAUGAUCGAGCUGUGAAGCGCUUUUUCGUUUGCGGGCUCACCUCUGUUUGGCUCUGUUUGGCUGAGAGGUGCAGCCUGACUGAGUGGAGCUCAUCGGCACAGACAAAGCAGAGGCAGGUAGUGGACAUCAAAAGCAGAGGCUCCCAAAAAAAACGCCCUUCACUGACCUCUUUCUGCACACAGGAAUGCUAAAUCAGGCUGAUAUAUAUAUAUUUUUUUUGUUAUGUGUGUGUGUUUGUUUGAGCCAAAAGCGGUCCAUAGCCAAAAGCCCUCAUCUAGUUUGUGUGCCUUGCAUGUUUGAUGCUUCAGUGAAAAUCUGUCGAUUUGAAAUGGAAAGAGUUUGAAUUUGAAAUCUGUGCAUACUUUUAUUUUUUUUAAGGAAAGUUAAUUUAGGUUUCUUUUUUUAUUAAAGAGAUAUAAAGAAAGUUACCAUGCCCAAUUCAAUCUGGCUAUACAGAAAUAGGGCAAUUUGGUAAAGAUCUUUUUUUUUUAAUGGCAUUUCAAAGGCCCAGGAAAGUUUGUAUAUUUCCCAUCUAAUGAUUUUGCAAUAAAGCUGAUAGAAAUAA